rnacentral:lncRNA from 1 species
GCAGAAAAACGCUGUAGAGAGGGCAGACUGUCAGCAUAUGUAGAUCAUAAAUGCACAUUGAGUCAUCCCUAAUUUGGCAAGAUAUCUAUUGGAGGGAAAAUUAAUCUGAUAUUGCAUGCAGCAUUAACCAGUGGAGGGCAAGAAAAAGGAAAGGAAAUGGAGACAGCUACAGGCUGCGAAGACCUAAGAAGGUACACUGAGCCAGUGGAGAGGAGGAUGAUUCAC